GCACUGCUCAGUCUGUUGAGCAUGAGACUCUUAAUCUUAGGGUUGCGGGUUCAAGCCCCACAUUGGGCG